GGGGGAUUGCAGCUUCUGCUGCCACAUUGGAUAACUUCGCUAACGCGAAGCUAAUACAUGUUAGUACAUCGAGCGAUCAUUUCUACCGGCUUGCCGGGCAGAUCGUCUCGUGCUAGUGGUUGGAACAAAAACCAACGCCAGCAAUGGCAGUUUUUGUAAAGUGUUGACUCAAACCAUUUAGCUCAAGCACGCUACGGCGUGCGUGCCCCGAUGGGUCUCUGACCUAUCAGCUUUGACGGUAGUGUAUUGGACUACCGUGGCGAUCACGGGUACGGGGAAUUAGGGUUCGAUUCCGGAGAGGGAGCCUGAGAAACAGCUACCACUUCUACGGAGGGCAGCAGGCGCGUAAAUUGCCCAAUGCCAAAUUUGGUGAGGCAGCGAAGAGAAAUAGCGACCCUCGCCUUCGGGUGAGGACCGGAAUGGGUGGUAUUUAAAACCACCAACGAGUAACAAUUGGAGGACAAGUCUGGUGCCAGCACCCGCGGUAAUUCCAGCUCCAAUAGCGUAUAUUAAUGUUGUUGCUGUUAAAGGGUUCGUAGUUGAAUGCAGGGUGUUGGGAGCUGUGUGGUCCUAGAUCACACGACGUCCCACUCCUGUUUUUUAGACGGGAUCGAUUGCCUUGCCGAUGGCACCUUAACUGGUGUUCUGAAGCUGUUGAGUGAAGAGCUCAACGUACGCGUCAUCACACGCUACGGGCCGCCCGUCGUUAUCACUGUGAAGAAAACAGCGUGUUCAAGGCAGCCGCCUAGCGGCUGAAUGACAAAGCAUGGAAUGACAAAGCAUCGACCAAUGGGUCUGGCUUUUGUUGGUUUUUUCAACCCAUUUGGAUAUCUUAUGUUCGGUAGCUGCGCUUCCUUCGGGUUGCCAGCUCCGGGCAGACACGGGAUUAAUGGGGGUUGUCGGGGGAAAACGUAUCUGAGCGAGAGAGGUGAAAUUCUUAGACCGCUCGGGGACGAACUUAUGCGAAGGCAUUUUCCAAGUAUACCUUCAUCAAUCAAGAACUAAAGUGUGGAGAUCGAAGAUGAUUAGAUACCAUUGUAGUCCACGACUGCAAACGAUGACGCCCAUGGAUCGGAAGUGAAUACUCACCCUCCGAGAUGGGAUUUUUUCGGCGCUGCUCUACCCAAUUAACGCGAAAGCUGAGGCUAUGGUCUCAUGGGGGAGUACGUUCGCAAGGCUGAAACUUAAAGAAAUUGACGGAAUGGCACCACCAGGCGUGGAGUGUGCGGUUUAAUUUGACUCAACACGGGGAACCUUACCAGUACAGGAAAACGCAAGGAUUGACAGAUUGAUAGUUCUUUCUUGAUUCGUUUGACGGUGGUGCAUGGCCGCUUUUGGUCGGUGAAGUGAUUUGUUUGGUUGAUUCCUUUAACGGACGAGACCCAAACCGCUUAAUAGGGGCACCAUCUGCUUUCGGGCAUGCGGAGCUAUCGUGUGGCCUUCGGGUUGUGCGGUGGCUUCUGAUGGUGAUACUCCUUCUUCGCGGCAUUCCCUGCUCCUUAGCUGGGUGGAAUUUUGGGCAACAGCAGGUCCGUGAUGCU
rnacentral:rRNA from 1 species